rnacentral:rRNA from 1 species
CAAUAGCGUAUAUUAAAGUUGUUGCGGUUAAAAAGCUCGUAGUUGGAGUUCUGCCAGGUGCCGCCUGUCCGCCCCAGUGGUGAGUACGUGGCGCGCAUUUGGCCCUUUCAAGGGGAGCGUAUUGCACUUAACUGUGUGGUGCGGGAUCCUUGACUUUUACUUUGAGGAAAUAAGAGUGUUCCAAGCAGGCUCUCGUCGUGCAUAGCUCAGCAUGGAAUAAUAGCAUUGGAUCUCGAUUCCAAACUGUUGGUUGUAGGAAACGAGAUAAUGAUGAAGAGGGAUAGUUGGGGGCAUUCGUAUUUAACUGUCAGAGGUGAAAUUCUUGGAUUUGUUAAAGACGAACUACUGCGAAAGCAUCUGCCAUGGAUGUUUUCAUUGAUCAAGAACGAAAGUUAGGGGAUCGAAGACGAUCAGAUACCAU